GAACCAGUUGAGGAUUAUGGCAGUGCGAUUUGUGCUAGUGUUAGGCACAGACAUGUCCAUUGCAGCCCUAGGCUUAUGACUCCAAUGGGCUGCAGCAAACUAUACGCGGAUGUGGUGCUUUUGGGUGUUUAGGUACAGUUAGCGCGAAGCAUGCCAUUCAACACCCGGAUCAGGCUGUAGCAAUUGAUUUGUUCAAACAGGAGAUUGUAUAUUGCAUUCUUUACAAGUGUUUAUAGUUUUUAUAAGCACUAUAAAGUUAUAUAUAAUAUUAACUAGUGGGUUAACAAAAAACUAGCCAUAAAUAAGUUAUUAUAAAUUCUAGGACUUUUUAUAAUUUUAGGUCUUAAAAAAAAGCCCUGGAACCCGACCCGACCCUCUAAUUUUGGUUUGCUUAUUGCUCUCAUGGCAUAUGUUGUUUGGCAUAUGUUGUUUGGCAUAUGAACUUUAGAUUUCCAUUUGGCAUAUAUAUAAUUUUAGUAUUGUGUA